CAUAAGCUAGUUGGUAAGGUAAAGGCUUCACCAAGGCAAACGAUCAGUAGCCGACCUGAGAGGGUGAUCGGCCACCAUUGGAAUUGAGACCCGGUCCCAGAUUCCUACGGGAGGCAGCAGUGGGGAAUAUUGCCCAAUGGGGGAAACCCUGAUGCAGCAACGCCGGGUUAAAUGAAGAAGGCCUUUAGGGUUGUAAAAGUUCUGUCCUUAUGGGAAGAUAAUGACGGUACCUAUAGGAGGAAGCCCACGGCUAACUACGUGCCAGGCAGCCGCGGUAAUACGUAGGUGGCAAGCGUUGUCCGGAUUUACUGGGCGUAAAGGAUGCGUAGGUGGACUUUUAAGUCAGAAGUGAAAUACCCGGGCUCAACCGGGGUGAGCCUUUUAAAAUAGGGAAUCUGAGAGUCCGGAGAGAGGAAAUAGAAUUUCUAGUGUGUAGGGUGAAAUGGGUGUAGAGUUUGGGAGAAACACCGUGUGGAGAGGGGGCUUUUUUGGAUGUUAAUGACACUUAGGCGCAUAAAGCGUGGGGAGACACAACACGGGUUUGAUAUCCCCGGUAUUGUCACACGCUGUAAGCGGUGUAUUAUAGUGUGUAGGAGUUACCCCACCCCUUCUCGUGCAGCAGUUACCACAAUAAGUAUUCCUCGGUGGGGACGUAUGCUCAGAAUGAAACUACUCAAAGGAAUUGAGGGGGGCCCCAACAAGCAGAGCAGCAUGUGAUUUAAUUGGAAGCAAGAAGAACGAACCUUACCUUGAACAUACAUCCCACCUAUCCCUGAUAGGAGGGUACCCUUUGGGGGCAGGGAGACAGGUGGUGCAUGGUUGUCGUCAGCUCGUGUCGUGAGAUGUUGGGUUAAGUCCCGCAACGAGCGCAACCCUUUUCAUUAGUUGCUACCAUUAAGUUGAGCACUCUAGUGAGACUGCCCGGGUUAACUGGGAGGAAGGUGGGGAUGACGUCAAAUCAUCAUGCCCCUUAUGUCUAGGGCUACACACGUGCUACAAUGGUUGGUACAGUGAGAUGCCAAGCCGCGAGGUGGAGCUAAUCCUAUAAAACCAAUCUCAGUUCGGAUUGUAGGCUGAAACUCGCCUACAUGAAGCCGGAGUUUCUAGUAAU
rnacentral:rRNA from 1 species